rnacentral:rRNA from 1 species
AAUUAAAAAUAAAAAAUAUUUUUUUCUUACGUCGAGAAAUAUUUGUUUUUCAAGAUAAACAAUGUCCGUUAGGCACCUAAUCUUUAUGUCAUAAUAGACCCGAACACUUGCCUCGGAUUGACUUCAAUAUAUAAUUGCUCCAGUGAAUAACAAAAAAAAAUGGAAGGAUGUUAGAUAGUAAAGAAAAGAACUAAUCACAAUAUCUAUCUUUCAAAAUCUAUCUUUCAAAAUCUAUCUUUCAAAAUAUAUAUAUAUCUUUCAAAGAUUCACUAAAAAGACAGUUGGCGGGUCUCUUUGUAUGUCUUGUCCGGAAAGAGGAGGACUUAAUGAUUAUUCGUUCGCCGGAACCAGAAGUAAAAAUUGUUGUGGAUAGGGAUCCUGUAAAAACAUCUUUUGAGGAAUGGGC